rnacentral:rRNA from 1 species
CCUACGGGAGGCAGCAGUGAGGAAUAUUGGACAAUGGGCGCAAGCCUGAUCCAGCCAUGCCGCGUGCAGGAUGACGGUCCUAUGGAUUGUAAACUGCUUUUAUACGAGAAGAAACACUGCUUCGUGAAGCAGCUUGACGGUAUCGUAAGAAUAAGGAUCGGCUAACUCCGUGCCAGCAGCCGCGGUAAUACGGAGGAUCCAAGCGUUAUCCGGAAUCAUUGGGUUUAAAGGGUCCGUAGGCGGUUUAAUAAGUCAGUGGUGAAAGCCCAUCGCUCAACGGUGGAACGGCCAUUGAUACUGUUAGACUUGAAUUAUUAGGAAGUAACUAGAAUAUGUAGUGUAGCGGUGAAAUGCUUAGAGAUUACAUGGAAUACCAAUUGCGAAGGCAGGUUACUACUAAUGGAUUGACGCUGAUGGACGAAAGCGUGGGUAGCGAACAGGAUUAGAUACCCUGGUAGUCCACGCCGUAAACGAUGGAUACUAGCUGUUGGGUGCAAACUCAGUGGCUAAGCGAAAGUGAUAAGUAUCCCACCUGGGGAGUACGUUCGCAAGAAUGAAACUUAAGGAAUUGACGGCNGAGAGNGCGAGACGACGACGAGGGAGGAGG